AGAAAUCUAGUAGGAAAUUACAGAUAGUCUCUCUGAACAGGUAUGGGGGAAAAAAAUGGAUAUAUCAAAGAAUAUGGUGGAUAAGUAUAAAAAGUAUAUAUUCUUGAAUCCUAUUAUGUAAUGUUAGCAUAAUUCCAAAUCAGAAUUUAAUCUAUGGAUUAUGUAAGGUGGAGAUUUUUAUAAAGUAAUAAUUUUUAAUAUAACCAAAGUAAAAUUUGAAAAGAACCAUUUCCUCUCCAACACAAUCCCUUAUUCUUCUGGCUCAAUGGGCUCCAGUCACACUAGCCUUGUGGAUGCUGCUCAUACACACCAGACAUGACUCUGAUAGAGAGGCUUUGCACUUUUUUGUCCCACUUCUGGACAGCCUUUUCUCAAGGUAUCCACAUGACCUUAUGGCACAACUCUAUAACAUUUUCUGCCCUCUUUUACAUGCUUUAUUUUUCUCUUGAGUAUUUGUCUUUGCCUGAAAUAUUAAAUGGUUCGCUCAGCAGAACCAUUUAUGGCCCCUGCACUGGUGUCAGGUGUCUUCGUGGACUUGGUGUCUGUAGAUCCUAGGUUUUAUGGACAGAUUCCCAUUUUUGGCAGCCAGCGGACUGAGACAUGAAAGGUUGUCUUAGUAAUGGGGCUAGUAUAUACAAAUGCUUGAGGAUGUGAUUGUGAUGGGAGUGCUCUAGGACAUGUAGGUCUGUUAACAACUGAUAAGGACAGAGAGCAAGGGGGGCAGAAUUAGAAUGGUAGCACGAGGUUUCUGUUCUGAGAAUGAUGGUAGACAGGAGGUUCAGUGAGUAAUAUGCAUGUGAGGAAAGUGUGUGAAGUAAUUGCCCCAGGCCCUAGUACUAGGAGUAUAAGAGAGAAGGAUGGGGCUAAGUUUGCUUGUAUCUGGGAGACAUGAUAGUGGGUACACUCAGGCUGUUGUCUUGGAGGAAAGGGAAAGGGCCCUGCAUACCAGGCUCACAGAUUACAUGGUAUCUCUCUGUCCACCUGCCUGUUGUUGCUCAGGGUCGUACAUACUGAUCAAGGAAACAUGAAGAGUUAUUGGGCCCACUGCCCUCUAAGUCACGGAGCUGGGGUGGAUGAUGAACCCAGAGUAUGGGCUGGGUUUAGAAGUACUUAUGGGGUCCUGGGGAGAGAGGCUGCUUAUGUACAAAUCUGUCCCAUCAUCACAGGGCCCUGUGACCUUUGAGGACGUGGCUGGGUACUUUUCCCAGGAGGAAUGGAAGCUUCUUGAUGAGGCCCAGAGAUUCCUGUGCCGUGAUGUGAUCCUGGAGCCCUUUGCACUUGUUGCAUCAUUGGUUUGUUGGCAUGGAGCAGAGCACAAGGAGAUAAUUUCUGAGCAGAAUGUUUCUGUAGAAGUGCCAUGAAUAAAUACUUCAGAGACCUGUCCAUCCAAAGUCCUGUCCCUGGAAGAUGUGUAGCCUGGCCUUAAACAUCACAACCUUGGAAUCACCCACUCAGCUCUCCUCGCCCUCCGGGACCAGCCAACACCACUUUCUGAGCUUAGCUCCUUGUUGCCGACCAAGCAUGAGCUCCCAGAUUCGUCACAAUUACUCCGCCAGGUGGAGGCCGCAGUCACCCGCCUGAUAACGUGCAUCUGCCUCUCUCCCAUACCUACCUGUCUCUGCGCUUCUCGAGGGCGUGAGACAUUGUUUCGCAAACUGGCCGAGGAGAAGCCGGAGGGCCCGAGCUCACUGGAAAAGGCAAAA